GACGAACGCUGGCGGCGUGGUUAACACAUGCAAGUCGAACGGAAAGGCCCUGCUUUUGUGGGGUGCUCGAGUGGCGAACGGGUGAGUAACACGUGAGUAACCUGCCCUUGACUUUGGGAUAACUUCAGGAAACUGGGGCUAAUACCGGAUAGGAGCUCCUGCUGCAUGGUGGGGGUUGGAAAGUUUCGGCGGUUGGGGCUGGACUCGCGGCUUAUCAGCUUGUUGGUGGGGUAGUGGCUUACCAAGGCUUUGACGGGUAGCCGGCCUGAGAGGGUGACCGGCCACAUUGGGACUGAGAUACGGCCCAGACUCCUACGGGAGGCAGCAGUGGGGAAUAUUGCACAAUGGGCGGAAGCCUGAUGCAGCAACGCCGCGUGCGGGAUGACGGCCUUCGGGUUGUAAACCGCUUUCGCCUGUGACGAAGCGUGAGUGACGGUAAUGGGUAAAGAAGCACCGGCUAACUACGUG
rnacentral:rRNA from 1 species